rnacentral:rRNA from 1 species
AACGAACGCUGGCGGCAUGCCUAACACAUGCAAGUCGAACGAGACCUUCGGGUCUAGUGGCGCACGGGUGCGUAACGCGUGGGAAUCUGCCCUUGGGUUCGGAAUAACUCGCCGAAAGGCGUGCUAAUACCGGAUGAUGACGUAAGUCCAAAGAUUUAUCGCCCAAGGAUGAGCCCGCGAUGGAUUAGCUAGUUGGUGAGGUAAAGGCUCACCAAGGCGACGAUCCAUAGCUGGUCUGAGAGGAUGAUCAGCCACACUGGGACUGAGACACGGCCCAGACUCCUACGGGAGGCAGCAGUGGGGAAUAUUGGACAAUGGGCGAAAGCCUGAUCCAGCAAGGCCGCGUGAGUGAUGAAGGCCUUAGGGUUGUAAAGCUAUUUUACCCGGGAUGAUAAUGACCGUACCGGGAGAAUAAGCUCCGGCUAACUCCGUG